UCCACGGCCUGCGGGCUCUGGCUCCCCCGUUCCUGGCCGCUUUCUCCGGAAUAAAGGACAUCGCACUUGUUACUAAACUGUUUUAGUUUUGUCCAUUGGAAGCUUUGGCGACGGGAUGGGCGGGAAGACAGGUGCGGAGGAUUCGGGCCGAGACGCAGGGGAGGACCGCUGCCCGCAGCUCGCCUCUCGACACAGUUAGAAACACUGAUUAUACUCUGAAGGCUUGAACUGGAAUAUAUAUUUGAGAAUGCACAUAGAAGGAACUAAGGUUCACUUUAUGGAGCCAAUGAAACACCUUGGAAAACCAGCCUGGUACCUGCUUACAGGGUUCCCAGCCAGCAGCUUUGCCAGAAAUGUAUCUGAUUGCUUACACAAUAUAGGCCUAACUUUAGGAGCAAACCUGUAUCACCGCCUCCUGCAACCAGAGACACUGUUUAAACAGACCUACUCUCAGCACUAACAGGCUGCUUCAGUGAGCUGGAACCAUCUACCCACUCAACUUUUGGACUAUGAAACUUCUUGGGGACGUUUCAAAGGUGGGGACUGAAAGGAACAGAAUGUGCCACUUUGGC